rnacentral:rRNA from 1 species
AGAGUUUGAUCCUGGCUCAGGAUGAACGCUAGCGAUAGGCUUAACACAUGCAAGUCGAGGGGCAGCAUGGUCUUAGCUUGCUAAGACUGAUGGCGACCGGCGCACGGGUGCGUAACGCGUAUGCAACUUGCCUCACAGAGGGGGAUAACCCGUCGAAAGACGGACUAAUACCGCGUACACUCUAUGUUGGGCAUCCAAUGUAGAGGAAAUGAAAUUCGCUGUGAGAUAGGCAUGCGUCCCAUUAGCUAGUUGGUGAGGUAACGGCUCACCAAGGCGACGAUGGGUAGGGGAACUGAGAGGUUGAACCCCCACACUGGUACUGAGACACGGACCAGACUCCUACGGGAGGCAGCAGUGAGGAAUAUUGGUCAAUGGGCGAGAGCCUGAACCAGCCAAGUCGCGUGAAGGAUGACUGUCUUAUGGAUUGUAAACUUCUUUUAUACGGGAAUAACAAGAGUCACGUGUGACUCCCUGCAUGUACCGUAUGAAUAAGCAUCGGCUAACUCCGUGCCAGCAGCCGCGGUAAUACGGAGGAUGCGAGCGUUAUCCGGAUUUAUUGGGUUUAAAGGGUGCGUAGGCGGCCUGUUAAGUCAGCGGUGAAAUCUAGGAGCUUAACUCCUAAAUUGCCAUUGAUACUGGCGGGCUUGAGUGUAGAUGAGGUAGGCGGAAUGCGUGGUGUAGCGGUGGAAUGCAUAGAUAUCACGCAGAACUCCGAUUGCGAAGGCAGCUUACUAAGGUACAACUGACGCUGAAGCACGAAAGCGUGGGUAUCAAACAGGAUUAGAUACCCUGGUAGUCCACGCAGUAAACGAUGAUAACUGGGCGUAUGCGAUAUACAGUAUGCUCCUAAGCGAAAGCGUUAAGUUAUCCACCUGGGGAGUACGCCGGCAACGGUGAAACUCAAAGGAAUUGACGGGGGCCCGCACAAGCGGAGGAACAUGUGGUUUAAUUCGAUGAUACGCG